rnacentral:rRNA from 1 species
CCUACGGGUGGCAGCAGUGGGGAAUAUUGCGCAAUGGGCGAAAGCCUGACGCAGCGACGCCGCGUGAGGGAUGAAGGUCUUCGGAUCGUAAACCUCUGUCAGCAGGGAAGAACGGUCACUGUGCUAAUCAGCAGUGAAUUGACGGUACCUGCAAAGGAAGCACCGGCUAACUCCGGGCCAGCAGCCGCGGUAAUACGGAGGGUGCGAGCGUUAAUCGGAAUUUCUGGGCGUAAAGCGCUCGUAGGCGGUAUGUCAAGGCAAGGGUGAAAUCCCCGCGCUCAACGUGGGAACUGCCUUUGAAACUGGGAAACUGGAGUGUGUGAGAGGGUAGUGGAAUUCCAGGUGUAGGAGUGAAAUCCGUAGAUAUCUGGAGGAACAUCAGUGGCGAAGGCGACUAUCUGGCACAUAACUGACGCUGAGGAGCGAAGGCGUGGGUAGCAAACAGGAUUAGAUACCCGGGUAGUC